CCAAUCCUCCCCAUCGCCACCCUCUCCCUCUCCCCUCUGUCGCCGCCCUCUCCCUCUCCUUGUCGUCGCCCUCUCCCUCUCCCUUUCGCCGACCUCUUCCACCGCCCCUUCCCCCCGCGCCUCCACUCAUACCCCGUAGGUCAACAAAAAAGUGAAUCUUUUUUGGCCGGCGACGAGCUUCUAGGCGACAGACGCGUGGAUGUGUAGCUGCGCCAGAGGUGGAUCUGGGCAACGGAGGCGUGGACGUGGAGCGGCGGCCGAGCGGCGGAUCUGGAGCGGCGGACGAGCAGCUGGAGCGGCCGGUGGCGGGACGAGCAUCUGGAGCCGGUGGCGGGACAAGCAGCUGGAGCAGGAGGGCGACUGCCGCCGUUGAGCACCGAGUCUGAGCUCGUCCAGAAGACCAACGACGGCGGUGGGUGGAAGCUGCUGCUCAUCCCUCUCUCCCUCGCAGCUGGCCGUGUAGCACAAUGAGUUACAGCCUAAAAUAGACAGAGCAACACGAUUACUACUCCAGAUGGAGUACUUGUUUCUGUAAAUGCAGAAGACUCGAUGAUGACAUUUUCUGGUGGAAUCCCUGAUUUUAGUGGAUGCAGAAAUCUGCAGUACUAUAUGAUUUGUAUGGAGUAUUUCUCUAUAUGCGGUUACCUUGAAAACAAUCAGUUAAACGGUGCGUUGCCAUCCUCUUUGGGAGAUCUACCUAACUUGAAAGAGCUGUAAGUUCUUCAUAAUUUUGUGCACUUUGUUUGUGCACCCCAUUUAUGCACCCAAUUUUCAAUUUUGAGAGGGAGUACUCCAUUAGCGAGCACAUUUGCUAGGUGUACCAAAGAAACCCAUUUAGUGAGCACCUCUGCUGGGAGUAUAAAUCAGUGUUAACUGACAAAUGUUUAGUAAAUGGCUGCUGUCAAAGAUUUUAUACUCCCUUUAUUUGCUGCUGUCAUAUUUGUGUUAACUCUAAAUCAGUGUAAACUGAAUUAAUGUCAAAGAAAUUACUGAAAAUUUGUUAACACUCCAAAAAUGCUUUCUUGCUGGAGUACUUUAACAGUACUGUACUGUAGUUUCAGUACUGAAUUUGCUUGCAGUAGUUUCAGUACUGAAUUUAACAGUACUGUAGUGUAGUUUCAUUCUUUGCUUGUUUGUUUACAGUAGUUUCAUUAUUUGCUUGUUUGCUUGAGAGGGAGUAGUUUAGUGUAGCAGUAGUGUAGGGGUAGUUUGGUGUAGGAGUAGUGUAGUGUAGGACUUGCAAGAAGAGGAGAGCUACUGGAGUGUACUCCUCUUGUGCCUUCCAUAUUCUUACUCUCUUCUUCCCUCUUCUUUUUCUCUUCUCUCUUCUUUUUCUUUCUCUUCUCUUUCUUCCUUUUACUCCAAUUCCAGAAACAAAUGGAACCAAAUGAAACUUUUCCUCUUUCUUCUUUUCUUUUUCUCUUCUCAAGCAUCUUCCAUUAAUUAAAUUUAAAUGAAUCUUUUGUGUUAACAAAUCUAAAUGAAACCUUUUGGGUUAAUCUAAAUGAAACCUUUUGGGAUAAUAAAAUUAAAUGAAACAUUUUGGGUUAAUCUAAAUGAAACCUUUUGGGUUAAUAAAAUUAAAUGAAACAUUUUGGGUCAAUCUAAAUGAAACCUUUUGGGUUAAUCUAAAUGAAACCUUUUGGGUUAGUAAAAUUAAAUGGGACUUUUUGUGUUAAUCCUAAAAGUUUGCAAAAAGACCAAAUUUGAAGUUAAUUAAAACUAAAAUGAAAAUUCACCUCUCCUCUCCUACUCCUCUCCUCCAACAUACUCCAACAAUUCAAAAAUCAAUUAAAUAAAACUAAUAUAAAAACAUAUGGAGAAAAAUACUUGGAGUAAAAGUGCGAAAUUAAAUGGAGAAAUUUUUUAGAUGGAGUUACACAUACAAGUGGAGUUAGACAUCCUCCAACGUACUCCACACAAACAACAUACUCCAACAUACUGAAAUAAGGAUCAUUACAGACAUGACAAGCAUCACAGCCUCAUCGGAAGCAUCAUUAGCAUCACAAGCAUCAUCACUGGCAUCACAGCCUCAUCGCAAGCAUCACAAGCAUCAUCAUUG